GUACACUCCUACGGGAGGCAGCAGUGGGGAAUUUUGGACAAUGGGCGAAAGCCUGAUCCAGCAAUGCCGCGUGAGUGAAGAAGGCCUUCGGGUUGUAAAGCUCUUUUGUCAGGGAAGAAACGGUGAAAGCUAAUAUCUUUUGCUAAUGACGGUACCUGAAGAAUAAGCACCGGCUAACUACGUGCCAGCAGCCGCGGUAAUACGUAGGGUGCAAGCGUUAAUCGGAAUUACUGGGCGUAAAGCGUGCGCAGGCGGUUUUGUAAGUCUGAUGUGAAAUCCCCGGGCUCAACCUGGGAAUUGCAUUGGAGACUGCAAGGCUAGAAUCUGGCAGAGGGGGGUAGAAUUCCACGUGUAGCAGUGAAAUGCGUAGAUAUGUGGAGGAACACCGAUGGCGAAGGCAGCCCCCUGGGUCAAGAUUGACGCUCAUGCACGAAAGCGUGGGGAGCAAACAGGAUUAGAUACCCUGGUAGUCCCAUGA
rnacentral:rRNA from 1 species